UUUUUUUUUUUUUUUGGUCUUUGUAGGGCUGCACCCACAGCACGUGGAAGUUCCCAGGCUAGGGGUCCCAUUGGAGCUACGUCCGUCUACACCACAGCCACAGCAACAGGGGAUCUAAGCCACAUGUGCAACCUACACCACAGCUCCAGCAACACUGGAUCCUUAAACCACUGAGAGAGGUCAGGGAUCAAACCUGCAUCCUCAUGGAUACUAGUCAGGGUCUUAAUCUGCUGAGCGGCAAAGGAAACUCCUCGUUUAAAUUUUGUAACUGAAGCACUCUAGCAGUAUUUUUUUUUUUCCCAAAAGGCAACGACAAAAAUUACAUUAAAAAAUCUACCACUUAGGAAAUACAAGUCCUAUGUCUGAUGUGACAGCAGAUUCUGGUAGGGAACAGAAAGGAAAAGAGAUGACAGACGUUCAACAAGGAGUAAUGACCCAGCCUUCUGAUAAUGCCAGUGCUGACUGGCUUUAGAUGAGGCAGGUACUCCGUCCAGUUGCACUAGAAUUAGCUAUUCUAGAAGUCCCUCGGUACUUCUACUUGCCAAGUUCCAAAGUGAGGAAAAUGACCUGGCUAGAUUUUUUUUUUAAAUCUACUAACUGAACCGCAUGGCAUUGACAUUUUUGUAGCACAAACACCAUCAAGUACCCAUUUCACAUGGUUCAACUUACUCAUGCCUAUUGCUGCUAAGUUUAAAACCGUCACUGAUUUUGAAUAUACAUGGAACGAGUUGGCUUUCCUGAAAGCAAGCCCAUAUAAUGGUAUUAUAAGUCUGAGCUUCCCAUCGCCCUCAGCCUCAGUCUCCCCUGCUCCAAAACAUGCAGGACAGCAGCCGUGGCAGCAAGCUGCCAAGCGGACUGCGUGAGAACAUGCAGGCAAAGCUCCCCCUCCUGUGCAGAGGCCAAGAAGGGGUGUUUCAUCCAAGGGGCUCACCUAACAGACCCCUGCUGAGCACCUCCUUCAUGGGGUGCACACUGAGGAUAACCGAUCCCAGCUCUCACCACCUCCUCGGCCAGUUCGGGAGCAUGGUAAGUCUCAAAUGGUCUGACCCCACUUCCCUGGAGAGUGAGGGAACCUGAGCUCCAACUCCUGAAGUGGCUUCCUGAGGGUCUAGCUAAUCGUUGCCUCUGCUUGUAGGUGAGCCAUGCCUUGGCUUUACGUUGACACAGGGCCCCCAGCCGUACAGGCACGAAAGCCAAGCUGAAGGUUCAGGUGUCCAUCACGUAAUCCAGUGGAUGGGUCUAUCAGAGGAGGGAAGUGGGUGGCUCUUCUACAGCAAGAGGAAUCACCACUACCGGACUUCACAAAGCCCCGCACUCACGCCGGGGCAAAGAUCUGAGAUCCAAGGAUUUACCGUUCUUCCUCUUUUUCAAAAAAUGAAUCUUUGGUUUACGGCAGAAAAGUCGCUAAGGAUCCUCUCUGGGAGUCUCAGGACACAUGCAAAGAUAUGUCCCACCGAGCUGUAUUAAAAAUGGGUACUGGGAGUUAAAAUGUUCUAGCCCAGCACUUACCAGUUACUUCUAAAUGGGUGAAUCCUUCUCCCCUGGUAAAAUAGAUGGAUUUCUGCUGCCUCAGCCUUUUGGGAAAAUAAGCACCCCAGAAGCCCCUGUGCAGAUUUUAUUGCGAAUCAGGUGUGUAAAAAUCGGAUGGCGCUCUCCUCGCUGCCUCCUGAAAACCUGCUGAUUUAUGGAAGUUGGGAGCGAUUGCAUUGCAAGGUUGAAAUCAGCGCUCUCCUUUCUUCUGUUCCCCAUAACACUUUGCAGAACUCAGAGAAUGGUCCUCAUGCUAAAAAUGGGAAAAUAAAUAGCUCUGAGAGGGUGUUUGAGAAAAACUAGCCAUUUUCUCAACUGUGAAGAUAAUAGAAGAGCUGAGGAGAGGAAAGGCAGAAAAUCAGAGAAUGAAUAAUAGCAAAAUUUAGGUCUCGGCUCUGCCUACCUGUUUUAAGUUAGGUGCUCUUAGGCAAGUAAAGUGGGCAAGCUAGGGCUAAGGCAAAGCUGCCAGAUGCCUGCUAAUAUCCACUGACACUCUCUCUCAGCAAAUGUCACUCUACUAAGAGACUAUUUUCCCAGCUUCCCUUGAAGUUAGAUGUAGACAUAUGACAAUGAAUUAUAAGCAGAAGUGUGGUAGCAUACCUCCAAAAAUGAUCUUUAAGAAAAAGGGGUAUGACCUUCUCCUUCUACUUUCUUGUGGCCUGGAAUGGAUACAUAAUGGCUGGAGCUUCUGUAGCUAUUUUGGGCCACGAGGCAGUAAGCUAAAACUAGAUGAGUAGCAAGGCAGAAGGAGCCUGUGUCCCUUGGUGAUUUCAUAAAGCUGCCAUACCAGCUUUGGACUGUCUAGCUCCGAUUAUUCUUCUACUUGUGAGAAUAAACCUUUUGUGUUUAAACCAUUGUGGAAGAUGUUUGAUUAGAUGAAGCCAAAUUUAAUCACAGUGAUCCAAGUACCAAUAUCACACCUUUGCAGUGGAGCUUACCAAACCAGUGUGAGUGCAAGGUGUCUGAAAAGGAUAAAAGAUUAACCUUCUCUCCCAUAUUCAUUCAUUCUUUCUUUCUUCUUUUUUUUCUUACACACACAUACACUCUACUUCAAGGUGAAAGCGUUCAUCAAAAAUUCAUUGGAAGUUUAUGUGUAAAAUAGGGGAUUUUGCCUUACUCUGCACAAAGACUCAACGAAUGAAGAUUAUUGUUACACAAGGGAGGAUUCAGAGCAUGUCAAGCUAAAUAUGCAUUUUUAACUAGUUUGAGUCUUAAAUUUUGAUCUUUAAACUACUAGGACAGAAAAGCAACUAGUCUAGAAUAAUGUACAGACCUCUCUAUAUGACUUCUAUACUUGAAGGUCUAAAGACCAGGCUCAAACAAAACUCUUGAUUGACUUUUUUAAGCCACCUUCUUUCCUGGUGAUCUUCCUCCCUGGAAAUGGCACCCCUCUGUCAGUCUGGCCCAUCCUCAGUCCCUUUAUCUCCCUCCUGUCAUGUGCUUCAAGAGCAAGUCCUGCUGAAUUAGCGCCAAAGCCUUUCCCACCCCACCUCACUGCUCCCCCCAUAUAUCCUCCGCUGCCUGAUGCCAGACGCCAGUGUUUCUUCCCCAAGAGCCACCACAGCUCCUUGCCUGGUGCUCCGGGUUCUGGUCUUGGUCUCUUCAAGAAGCCCGGAUGAUCUUAUUUUAAAAGAGCAUCACAUCAUGUUAUGAGUCUGAUGAACUCUAUCUAAUGGUUUCCCAACAUAGUUCAGUACCCAGCCCUCACCCUGCCUGCUGGGCAACAUCUCCGUCUACCUCUCUCCCCGUUGAUUCCUCAGCUCCUAACAAGUGGCUUCAUUUCUGAUCUUCAAAGGGCCCAGGUCACUCCUGCCCUAGAACUUUUCUAUCUGGACCUUCCCUUCUCUGAAAAGCUCUCUUCGUACAUCUUGGCAUGGCCACAUCCGACACAGAUUUCGGCAGGCUGUCAUCCCUUCCCUCUCUAAAGAUACUCCCUGCCCCGGUCUCUUUACUUCACCGUGUUUUUGUCUUUUUCUUUAGGGCCAUACCCACAGCAUAUGGACGUUCCCGGGCUAGCGCGGUCGAAUCAGAGCCACAGCUGCUGUCCUAUGUCACAGCUCACAACUACGCUGGAUCCUUAACCCACUGAGUGAAGCCAGGGAUCACACCCACGUCCUCAUGGAUACUAGUCGGAUUCAUUAGCACUGAGCCACAAUGGAAACUCCUACCAUGUUUUUUUUUUAACAUAUACUCCCCGAUUUUAAUUUUUUUUUAAUUUAGCUAUUACAUGCAUACAUUAAAAUGCACAAAAUGUAGAUAUUACAUAUGUAUAAUCAAAUGCAUAAAUGCCUUAAUUAUAAAACUUGAAUUUUUACAUGUGCAGCCAGGGUCACCACCUCACGGAUCAAGAGACAGGACAGUUCCAAAUCCCCAAAAGGUUCUAUUAUGUUCCUUCCAACCAUUACCCCCUCCAUCCUGUUGUCUUCACUGUGUUCUAGCAUCAUAACACAUGUGCACACCUGAUGCUUGGGGAUUUAUGUAUUCGUGUGAAAUUCCCACUGGACCAAAGCCCUACCGGAGUGGGUACCUUCUGUGCUGUGUUCAUGGCUACACUCCCUGUGCUCAGCACAGAGUAGGUGCUCAAUAAUGAUUUUCUAAAUGAGUGAGUUAAUAGGGCCUGUCAACCAAAAUAUUAAAAUCAGCUGGGUUGAUGCGACUCAGCUAUUGAAGUCGACGUUGUUAAAAUUCAAAGGAAAUCCAAAAACCGAACUGCUGCUCUUAACCUGGUAUUCCGGCUUUUAGUGGACUCCCCAGUACCCCCACAACUCCACACUGCAUGUGUCACCUCAGCAGAAGGCUUUCCUUGGGAACUAGCAGCCCUUUUUAGCUAAACAAGCUAAGAAGGGACUAAGUUGCUCAUCAAUAGUAGGUGUGGGGGGGGGGUUAGAGAGUAAUAAACAUAUUCCUCUGUUAACAUUUUUGCCUCCUUUUUCUCUUUCUAUUGGCAAAUGAUAAGGGUUGUUACGAGAUUAUUGAACCACUUUAACCAUCUACAGUUGAUGGGCAAAGCUUUUCUCUAAUUAAGCAAAUCCUAGAGAUACAAGUCAGCUGAGGGAAGAUUUUCAUUUCUAACUAUAGGCAGCCACGAUGGAGAUAAGCAUUUUCCUACCUUUUUUUUGAUCCCUGCCCACGGAUGCACCACGGGCGGUCAACCACCCCAUCUCCGUGGAACCCCACGCACACGCACAAACCCCAGGCAUGGAGGCUUUUAAGCAGAACAAAUAGAAGGAGAGCACAGGAGAGGCUUGACUCAGAGCCUGACAAGGUAGAAUAAUCAAAAUGUGUUAGUACUUCCAUUGAACGGGAGACAUGCGAGUUAAGCAGCAAUUAAGUUAAUAAAUGGAUUCUUAUUUUCUUCACUGAAUCCAAAGAUCUCAGGCUAAUUGUCUUCUUGGUAACAUACCGCUUAUUCAUGAUUUUAAGCAGUGUUUUUAAUAAAGCAAAGAAGGCGGUGUGCUUUAAUAAGAGGAGUAUCAUUAGCUCAGAAGCCAGAGAGACCUGGGUUCAGAUCUCAGUUUAAUCCCUUGUAACCUGCUUCGCUGGAAGUCGGCCAAAUUCCUUUCGCUUCUGUUUUCUCCUCAAGUAAACAGGGUGAGAAACUUAGCAGGGUGCUGCAAGUACUAAAAUGGGAUGUUUGAAGGUGUUCAGCACUUUGCCCAAUGGGGGGCCUUAAGUUCCUGACCUUCUGUCGCCAUCGUGAUUACUGUUAAGCCCCGAACCGGCCUUCAUCAGCAAU
rnacentral:lncRNA from 1 species